rnacentral:rRNA from 1 species
AUGCAACAAGGGCACCCGGUGGCAUAUCUCAGCAAAGCACUUUGUCCAAAGAACCAAGCCUUAAGUACCUAUGAAAAAGAAUGCCUGGCGAUCCUCAUGGCAGUCAACAAGUGGAGACCUUACCUACAACAGCAGCAUUUUGUGAUCCGCACCGAUCAACAAGCCCUGCUGCACUUGACUGAGCAACGAUUAAGUACUGGGAUCCAACACAAAGCUUUUGUUAAGCUCAUGGGACUUGACUACACUAUCCAAUAUAAAAAGGGAUUGCUAACGCGGCGGCUGAUGCUUUAUCACGCCGUGAGCAUGGGGCACCCUUGCUGGCGAUUUCGGCAGCGGUGCCCUCCUGGCUCGAGACCCUGGUGGAUGGGUACAAUGAGGAUCCUGAAUCAAAGCAGUUACUGCAACAACUGGCUGUCACCUCUCCGAAUGCUCAAGGUUACUCUCUCGAAGCGGGAGUGA